GCCAGAUGCGGUGGUGCAUGCCUAUAGUCCCAGCUAUCCAGGAGGCUGAGGUGGGAGCACUGCUUAGCCCAGGAGUUCUUGGCUGUAAUAUGCAUGCCAGUCAGGUGUCUGCACUAUGUUUGGCAUCAGUAUAGUGACCUCCUGGGAGCGUGGGACCACCAGGUUGCCUAAGGAGGGGUGAACUAUCCCAGGCUGGAAAUGAAGCAGGUAAAAACUCCUGUGCUAGUUAGCAGUGGGAUUGUGCCUGUGAAUAGUCACUGCACUCCAACCUGGGCAACACAGUGAGACCCCGUCUCU
rnacentral:SRP_RNA from 1 species